GGGAUUGGAAUUCUUGGUGUAGCAGUGAAAUGCGUAGAUAUCAAGAGGAACACCAGUGGCGAAGGCGAAUCCCUGGACAAUACCUGACACUGAGGCACGAAAGCUAGGGGAGCAAACAGGAUUAGAUACCCUGGUAGUCCUAGCUGUAAACGGUGUGUGCUUGCUGUAAGAGGAAUCGACCCCUUUUGUGGCGUAGCUAACGCGAUAAGCACACCGCCUGGAAAGUACGGUCGCAAGAUUAAAACUCAAAGAAAUUGACGGGGGCCUGCACAAGCGGUGGAGUAUGUGGCUUAAUUCGAUGCAACGCGAAGAACCUUACCUGGCCUUGACAUGCAUGUAGUAGGACCGUGAAAGCGGAACGAGGUAGCAAUACCAGCGUGCACAGGUGCUGCAUGGCUGUCGUCAGCUCGUGUCGUGAGAUGUUGGGUUAAGUCCCGCAACGAGCGCAACCCUUGUGUCCUGUUGCCACCCCGGCGAGAGCCGGGAGCACUCUGGACAGACUGCCUCAUUUUAAUGAGGAGGAAGGUGGGGAUGACGUCAAGUCAGUAUGGCCCUUACGGCCAGGGCUGCACACGUACUACAAUGCCCGGUACAAAGGGACGCCAAACCGCAAGGUGGAGCAAAUCUCAGAAAACCGGGCCCAGUUCGGAUUGUCGUCUGCAACUCGACGACAUGAAGUUGGAAUCGCUAGUAAUGGCGCAUCAGCUACGGCGCCGUGAAUACGUUCCCAGGCCUUGUACACACCGCCCGUCACAUCAUGAAAGCCGUUUGUACCCGAAGUCAGCAGGCUAACCGCAAGGAGGCAGCUGCCGAAGGUAUGGAUGGUGAU
rnacentral:rRNA from 1 species